GAUGAACGCUAGCGGCAGGCCUAACACAUGCAAGUCGAGGGGCAGCACAGAAACAGCAAUGUUUUGGUGGCGACCGGCGGACGGGUGCGUAACGCGUAAGCAACCUACCUUUAACAGGGGGAUAACGGAGAGAAAUUGCCACUAAUACCCCAUAACAUCGAUCAAGGCAUCUUGAUUGGUUGAAAACUCCGGUGGUUAAAGAUGGGCAUGCGUUGUAUUAGGUAGUUGGUGAGGUAAUGGCUCACCAAGCCUACGAUACAUAGGGGGACUGAGAGGUUAGCCCCCCACACUGGUACUGAGACACGGACCAGACUCCUACGGGAGGCAGCAGUGAGGAAUAUUGGUCAAUGGGGGCAACCCUGAACCAGCCAUGCCGCGUGCAGGAAGACGGCUCUAUGAGUUGUAAACUGCUUUUAAACAGGGAUAAAGCACAGUAUGUAUACUGUGUUGAAGGUACUGUAAGAAUAAGGAUCGGCUAACUCCGUGCCAGCCGCCGCGGUAA
rnacentral:rRNA from 1 species